rnacentral:misc_RNA from 1 species
GAUGAAGAACGUAGCGAAAUGCGAUACGUAAUGUGAAUUGCAGAAUUCAGUGAAUCAUCGAAUCUUUGAACGCAUAUUGCGCUCUCUGGUAUUCCGGAGAGCAUGCUUGUUUGAGUAUCAGUAAACACCUCAACUUCCAUAUCUUUUUUGAAAUGGGAGUUGGACUUGAGUGAUCCCAACGCUUUUCCUCACCGAAAAGUGGCGGGUUACUUGAAAUGCAGGUGCAGCUGGACUUUUCUCUGAGCUAUAAGCAUAUCUAUUUAGUCUGCCUAAAAAACAGAUUAUUACCUUUGCUGCAGCGAACAUAAAGGAGAUUAGUUCUUGUGCUGACUGAUGCAGGAUUCACAAAGACAGGCUUCGGCCGACUUUGUAAACUCGAUCUCAAAUCAAGUAAGACUACCCGCUGAACUUAAGCAUAUCAAUAAGCGGAGGA